UCUCUGGGCCGCGGAGGACAUUAGAGGCCGGGGUGCGAACCAGGCCUUUCUGUGAGCACUUGCCUGAGGGGCAGCCCGGCCCGUGCCCGUGGGGAACAGGUCCGUUUUGCCUGUGUCCCC